UUUGACUGCGGUGGUUCGCGCCGCCGCUUCUGCUGAGUUGGCGCCGUUCCUGCGGUUCAGGAGCGGUGGGCUGGGCCGUCCCGGCGUUGGAAGGGCAUCCUCCUCGCUCUAGGCCGUAGCAUCUGCACUUGUCUUUUCUCUCAGUUCAAGCCUCAGCCCCUCGCCGCCCACCUCGAUCUCCCCAACUGCGGACACGUUCAAAUAUUUCCGUGCUCAGGAAUUGCAAAUACCGGUGUGGCUAAAUCAUGGUGAUGGGGGAGAUUGUAGGACGCUCUUCUCAAACUUUAAUAGGAGCCUGCAUUUCUCAUUAAAAUUAAGGUCUGAUUCGUUAGGUCAGGUGUGUGUGGUCCACAAGUCUUCAUUCCUUACUAGCUCCCCCGUGACGUUCGGGCCGCCGGCGGGUGGACCACACUGCGUGCUGACGUUGUAAUAGAAGAGAUUGAACUGGCAUCCAAGGGCCAGAUCGCGUGGAGUCCUGCGGUCCACGUUAAGGACUCUGUUGGAGUUGGGCGAGCAGGCAAUAAAGCCUUAUUAUAAUUCCCACAGUUUAGGGAAGAAGCUGGACGUAAACCUAAAAGGAUCAAUGACUACACUCUUCGGUUCAGCAGAGGAGAAUGUAUGGAUCUCAGAGCAUAUGAUGAGGGAGGGGGCUGCUAAACUCGUCUGAGAGGUUAGGGAAGGCUUCUGCGGGAGGCUGACGCUCAGGUUGAAAUCGAAGGAAUUACGCAGAAAUUGCACCUACAGAACUCCCGACAGUGUGAAGGAGAGAAGGGAACAGUCACUCCACGGUCUUGGAGCCCCUGUGUGCUGCCUCUCCCUCAGAUGAGUGUGAACUGCAUUCGAAGAAUAAAGUGUGGCAAAGCCCAAGGACAGGAGCCUUACCGCGGAGACCCCUGACAGCACCUUAACCAGAUGGUCCAGGCUCAUAUCUCGGUAGGAGCCUCACUGACAUCACGUGGCUCUGACCUGGUGUCAUCAGAAGCGCACCUGGCCCCCGUGGGUUUCUUCCCAGCAACAUGGAGCCCCCAAGCCGAGGAGGAGGAGAAAAAUACCAGAUACACUCAAACUGAGCGAUACUCUCCAGGAAACGUGACCAGUACCUUGGAAAACUGUCCCAGCCGUGAAAAAGAAACAUUGGAGGAGCUGUCACAGAUUGAAGGAGACCCAGGGGACAUGAGGCCAGAAUGAGAUGUGGGAUCCCUGGGUCAGGAAAGGGGCAUUUGUGGGGGAAAAACUGGUGACAUCGAAAUAAAGCCUGAAAACAGUGGA